AAUACCGCAUACGCCCUACGGGGGAAAGCAGGGGAUCUUCGGACCUUGCGCUAAUAGAUGAGCCUAAGUCAGAUUAGCUAGUUGGUGGGGUAAAGGCCUACCAAGGCGACGAUCUGUAGCGGGUCUGAGAGGAUGAUCCGCCACACUGGGACUGAGACACGGCCCAGACUCCUACGGGAGGCAGCAGUGGGGAAUAUUGGACAAUGGGCGAAAGCCUGAUCCAGCCAUGCCGCGUGUGUGAAGAAGGCCUUUUGGUUGUAAAGCACUUUAAGCGAGGAGGAGGCUACUUAGAUUAAUACUCUAGGAUAGUGGACGUUACUCGCAGAAUAAGCACCGGCUAACUCUGUGCCAGCAGCCGCGGUAAUACAGAGGGUGCGAGCGUUAAUCGGAUUUACUGGGCGUAAAGCGUGCGUAGGCGGCUUUUUAAGUCGGAUGUGAAAUCCCUGAGCUUAACUUAGGAAUUGCAUUCGAUACUGGGAAGCUAGAGUAUGGGAGAGGAUGGUAGAAUUCCAGGUGUAGCGGUGAAAUGCGUAGAGAUCUGGAGGAAUACCGAUGGCGAAGGCAGCCAUCUGGCCUAAUACUGACGCUGAGGUACGAAAGCAUGGGGAGCAAACAGGAUUAGAUACCCUGGUAGUCCAUGCCGUAAACGAUGUCUGCUAGCCGUUGGGGCCUUUGAGGCUUUAGUGGCGCAGCUAACGCGAUAAGUAGACCGCCUGGGGAGUACGGUCGCAAGACUAAAACUCAAAGGAAUUGACGG
rnacentral:rRNA from 1 species